UUAGAGUUUGAUCCUGGCUCAGGAUGAACGCUAGCGGCAGGCUUAACACAUGCAAGUCGAGGGGCAGCGAGAUCAGUGCUUGCACUGAUUGUCGGCGACCGGCGCACGGGUGCGUAACGCGUAUGCAACCUACCCAUUACAGGGGGAUAACACUGAGAAAUCGGUACUAAUACCCCAUAACAUCCAGGGAGGCAUCUUCUUGGGUUGAAAACUCCGGUGGUAAUGGAUGGGCAUGCGUUGUAUUAGUUAGUUGGUGGGGUAACGGCUCACCAAGACAACGAUACAUAGGGGGACUGAGAGGUUAACCCCCCACAUUGGUACUGAGACACGGACCAAACUCCUACGGGAGGCAGCAGUGAGGAAUAUUGGUCAAUGGACGCAAGUCUGAACCAGCCAUGCCGCGUGCAGGAAGACGGCUCUAUGAGUUGUAAACUGCUUUUGUACGAGGGUAAACGCAGAUACGCGUAUCUGUCUGAAAGUAUCGUACGAAUAAGGAUCGGCUAACUCCGUGCCAGCAGCCGCGGUAAUACGGAGGAUUCAAGCGUUAUCCGGAUUUAUUGGGUUUAAAGGGUGCGUAGGCGGUCGGAUAAGUUAGAGGUGAAAUCCCGGGGCUCAACUUCGGAAUUGCCUCUGAUACUGUUCGGCUAGAGAGUAGUUGCGGUAGGCGGAAUGUAUGGUGUAGCGGUGAAAUGCUUAGAGAUCAUACAGAACACCGAUUGCGAAGGCAGCUUACCAAGCUACUUCUGACGUUGAGGCACGAAAGCGUGGGGAGCAAACAGGAUUAGAUACCCUGGUAGUCCACGCAGUAAACGAUGAUAACUCGUUGUCGGCGAUACAGUGUCGGUGACUAAGCGAAAGCGAUAAGUUAUCCACCUGGGGAGUACGUUCGCAAGAAUGAAACUCAAAGGAAUUGACGGGGGCCCGCACAAGCGGAGGAACAUGUGGUUUAAUUCGAUGAUACGCGAGGAACCUUACCCGGGCUUGAAAGUUAGUGACGGAUCUUGAAAGAGGUCUUCCCUUCGGGGCACGAAACUAGGUGCUGCAUGGUUGUCGUCAGCUCGUGCCGUGAGGUGUCGGGUUAAGUCCCAUAACGAGCGCAACCCCUACCGUUAGUUGCCAGCAGGUCAAGCUGGGCACUCUGACGGGACUGCCGGUGUAAGCCGAGAGGAAGGUGGGGAUGACGUCAAAUCAGCACGGCCCUUACGUCCGGGGCUACACACGUGUUACAAUGGCAGGUACAGAGGGCAGCUACCCAGCGAUGGGAUGCGAAUCUCGAAAGCCUGUCUCAGUUCGGAUUGGAGGCUGAAACCCGCCUCCAUGAAGUUGGAUUCGCUAGUAAUCGCGCAUCAGCCAUGGCGCGGUGAAUACGUUCCCGGGCCUUGCACUCAAAGCCCGUCAAG
rnacentral:rRNA from 1 species